GUGUAGGCGAUCUAUAGAGGUCGGACGUCUUCGUGCGACUGCAAGCAAUCUAAAGGGACUCUCUCCUGUGCAAGUUAUUUUUGGAGAUCAACAACCCAUAAUCUGAUAAUAAGUUUUGAACUUGUGAAACUAGUUUGGGUAGAUCUAAUGCUUAGAUCUAGAUUGCAGUAUCGAUUAGAUCGAUGUAAUUUUUAUUUUUAGAUCUUAAGUUCAUAUUAAAUCAUAUUAUAGAUCUUGGCAUGGUAGCCUAGAUUAAAUCUUAUGCAUGUAAAAUAGAUUAAAUCUUUUAAUCUUAUUUAUCUACUGCAAAAAAUUUUGAAAUUACAUG
rnacentral:lncRNA from 1 species